AUUUUAAUGGUUCGUGCAACGGUAUUAAACAAACUUUACAAGCCGUUGACAAUCAUUCAAGAUUACGGAGUUGUAUGCAACACAUCCCUGAGGCUGAUCUAUUUCGACUGUCAAAGAAUUAUUUUUCAAGAUGAAGAAGUUUCUGGUAAUCGCUCUGAUUGUAAUGUUGGCUGUGGCUUUUGUUGCUCCAAGUGAGCACAAACUGCACAAGGAAGAGAAGAAUGAAGAGGAUGCAGCCGAGUGUACUACCGACGCUGACUGUAAAAACAAACGUGGAAAGCGUUGUAUAUACGGAAAAUGUGUUUUCCCAUUGGGCAAGUGAGAGUAAAAAUGCAUUAUCGUAAGCCAAUGGGUCAGAAAUUACGAAUUGUACUUGCAAUGUUGCAUGAACGUUGAUUAAAAUUGUGCAUGUAUACUCAUCAUGCGUCAAAA